rnacentral:lncRNA from 1 species
AGCUCUGUGGGAUGUGCUGAAGUUCAGUUUUGACCUUGAGUAAUCGGUGUAAUGAAGGGUGUCCUCAUAGGACUGAGCUACCACAUCAGGAGACUUACAAGCUUAAGAUAGCUUACAGGUCCUUAUUUAUAGCUCUCAGACUUAAGCCCAGACCUGGAGACCCAUACAUUUGGGCUUAGAGGUUGCACUUCAGCAAGCCAUCCGGGACUCACUGCAUGAAUAGCCAGC